AUCCUGGGGGGAGACAGGAGUGAGAGAGAUGGAACGGGGGUCAGGCAGAGAACGAUGGAGAGACCGGGGUUGAGACAUACAGGGAGGGAGAGUAAGAAAACAACGGGAGGAGCGUAGAAGACAGAAAGAACGGAGUGAAGAUGAGGCAAAGAAAGUUAUCAUGGUGUGUGAUGUUCAUCUCCAGAUCUGUGGACUGAUGAAUUCUCCAAACUUUUAAGUACCACUCCCUUCAUGUGCUUCCUGCUCCUCUUGAUUCCCACAAGUCUAACUACGAAACCAAACUUCCCACCUUCAGCACACUAGCCACAGUUGGUCUAGGGUUCUUCCACUAUGCUCACAUUAUUUCCUGCCCAGUGUGGACUGAGGUCACUCCUCAGGUUGUUCCUCCGUAUUCUGGUAUGCGGCGACAGAGAUGGCGCUGUAGGGGUUCAGGACCAUCUGGGCACAGCGCACUAUGGUGAACAGCAGGAAGGAACACAGUAGAAAGACAAAGAAGAGAGCAAAGCCCAGGUCCACGUCCACCUCCAUCCUGGCCACCGGCAGGAGAGGAGGGUCCAUGACUUCUCGUAUCCAAUUGAGGCUGAUGCAGACUGACAAAGUCCUACUCAAUGGCCCCUACUUUAUUCCCCAAUGUCCCUACCACCCUACCCAAUCCACUCUACUUGUAGGCCAGAUAUUCUACGAGCUUCAGCAUGCAGAGGACACGUGUACUCACACCUG